rnacentral:lncRNA from 1 species
GACACAAUAGAAAGUAACAAGCUUGCAGAGUUUGGAUCAUGGCUCAGAAUUACAAUGAGAAAAUCGUUUUUGAAGGGGUGUGUUGAGGAUCAAGAACAGACCCUUGGUUGAAGAAGCAGCAUUAAAGCUAGCUAGCAAUAAUUAAUUAUGAAACCAAGGUCUGGUCUUUUAUAUGUAAGAGUUAAUUAAAAAAAAUAUUUAUUGAUCAACUUUCUCAUUAUGUAGCUGUACUUCAAAAGAAGUUGCUCCCAGCCUUAAGGGAAGUCUUCUCCAACGGUAAUAAAAACUUCUUUUUAUUCAAGUGUGCAGCUCAUUGAUAUAUAGCUUUAUGCCUUGUAACUGACCUAGAGAAUGAACCUAGACUGUGUAGUGUUAUAAAUAGGAUACUUGGGUUCAGUUGUAAUAUGUGCUAAAAAAUGAGUAUUGUACAAGUGAGCACUCCAAAUACAUGAACAUUUAUAAGAGUGUAGGUCAUGGGUUUUGAGUCAAGGGCAUCUUGAAUUCAAGGAAACCUUUCCGAGUCACCAUGGCAGCAUUUUUCUGAGAAAAAUUUACUUGUUUCUAUUGUUCUGAGAGCCUCUUGUGUUGUGUUUAAAUGUAAACUGGUUUGCUUGUUCUUGGAGGCUUGUAUUUCUAAACUGUUGGUUCCUUAAAUAAAUGUGCUUGUGUAGGUGUGCCUGUGCAUGACCUAAAAACCAGAUAAAAAAUGCCAUGGAAAAUACCUGGAAGGAAUAUUGCAAAAUGUUGCAUCGGGAUUGACAAAAUUGAGGUGUGAUUGGUCAAUUUAUUCUGAUACUAAUGGAUUGUAAUUCAAUUUGUUGUGGCUUUAAAUGACUGCAUAUCAAAUUACUUUGGACAAACUGUGGCUUCUGCUUAAUUCGUUGCAAAGAAUUGCCAUCAAACAAGGAUUGGAUUAUGUAUUUUUUUAUAAUUUUAAGUUUUGUGAAAAGAACUCUUCUUACAUGUAUAGUAACCUGAAAAGGCUCAACUUGCUAGAAAAUUGGUUUUAUGACCUUGGUUUCCUUGAGAAACAGAUUGGAAAUGGAACAAGAAUUCCUUUUGUCCAUUACAAACAAGUUCAAUAUGUUUGGACUGAUAAGCUUUGACCCUGCAGGUACUAAGAGAUCCUUGCCAAUGUGAAUUUCCACAAUACUGUGAUUCAGAAAGAUAGGAGUAGCUGUUGGGUGCCAUUUGAGGUAAUCGACUGAGCUUUUUGACAUAGAGUGUGUUAUAACAAGACCAAGUCUGAAGAGAAGUCCCCGAAGAAAUCCGGAAGCAUCUAAUAUGAAACUUGGAGUUGUUGUUUUAAUUAUUUUUCUUGCCUUCAAAUUGGAGGCAAUAGGAAACAAUGAAGGAAGCAGAAAGUUG